UCCUCCUGGGAGCCAUCUCCCUGUGGCCACUGGGAUGGCCCAGCGGUGCCUCCUGGCUUGGAGCAGAGUGCAGCCCAGCCUGUGCUGGCCCAGUGUCCCCGGCCAUGCCCUCGGUGCCCCGCUGGGCGCGGCGCCGCGGGCGGGAGCCACGUGCGAGGCCCGGCACAGGCGUCUCCGCUUUCCUGUGGUGAAGCAAAUUGCUCCCUGGAGCGUGAGAUCUGAUUAGAUUCGUGACACACCGCAGCGUGGCAACAACACCACGGCCAGGACCACGAUCUAGCUGGCAAAGCAGCUGCAGCACCAACCCACCAGGGCAGCAGCUCACCGAGCCUUGGAGAGCCCCAGGCAGAUGGGGGUCAUGGGAGCUGCCCAGCCAGGAGAGGAUGUAUCUUCAAAGGCCUCUCAAGGCAACAAACAGUACCUGUUUUGCAGUUUACCCUUCACAUUUCCUGCCUUGAAUGGCUCCUGAGCGAUGCCUGCCUCUUCAUUUGAGAUCUUUCAACAGCUGUCUGAUAGAGAAGACCUUUAUCUCGCCUCUCCCGGGCUCCCAUCCAACACCAGUCUCUGGAGGCACAAUAAGAUGAGGAGUCACCUCUGCCACCCCAAGAUAUCUGCACGGGGACCUCUAGAAAUGAAGGUUGCCCACCCUGGGUUGCUCCUGCACAGCCAGAGAGACAAAGACACUGCCAAGUUUCCCCUGAGAUCUGCAACGUGUCCUUCAGCAUCCCAUUGUACCCUGGGAUCCACUGAAAGGGUUUUCAGGCACUAGAACAGGAAAUGGUGGAGUCACCAUGCCUGAAAGUGUGCAAAAAACGCAUAGAUGCAGCACCUGGGGACACGGUUUGGUGGUGGCCUUGACACUGCUGGGUGAAUGGCUGGAUUUGAUGAUCCCAGAGGGCUUUUCCAACCUUCAUGAAUCCAUGAUUCAAUUCACUGCUUGGGCCUUUGCUGGCCCCAAGGAAUGAAGGCACCAGGCUGUGUUUGUGCUCUCCAGAGGGGCUGUGCCAUCAGCAUCUUCUCCUGUCCCCAGCACGUGCAACUGCAUGACAUACUCACCAGUCCUGGGGCUGGGAUUAAAGACACACAGGUGCAGAGUUUCUUCCCAUCUGGGUGCUCUGGACAGAGCUUUGCCUGAAGGAGGAGGUGCACAAAGCUUCACACCCUGCUGACUGGAAAGAAAGGAUUGUUCUCCCUAGAUCACAGCUGGGGAAGUUGAGUCACGGGGCAGUAAAUCUCAGAGCUCAGAGAAAAGUGGUUUGGCUAAAUUUGUCUUG